UUCGGGGCGCUGACGAGUGGCGAACGGGUGAGUAACACGUGGAUACCUAUCCUGGGGCGGGGGACAACAGUUGGAAACGACUGCUAAUACCGCAUACGCCCUACGGGGGAAAGAUUUAUCACCCUGGGAGGGGUCCGCGUUGGAUUAGCUAGUUGGUGGGGUAAAGGCCUACCAAGGCGACGAUCCGUAGCUGGUCUGAGAGGAUGAUCAGCCACACUGGGACUGAGACACGGCCCAGACUCCUACGGGAGGCAGCAGUGGGGAAUAUUGCGCAAUGGGGGCAACCCUGACGCAGCGAUACCGCGUGAGUGAAGAAGGCCUUCGGGUUGUAAAGCUCUUUCAGUAGGGACGAUAGUGACGGUACCUACAGAAGAAGCUCCGGCUAACUCCGUGCCAGCAGCCGCGGUAAUACGGAGGGGGCGAGCGUUGUUCGGAAUUACUGGGCGUAAAGGGCGCGUAGGCUGUUUGGCAAG
rnacentral:rRNA from 1 species